CUGUAGCUCAGUUGGUUAGAGCGCACCCCUGAUAAGGGUGAGGUCGGCAGUUCGAAUCUGCCCAGACCCACCAAUUACUGGUGCACCCUGUAGCGAUACGGGGCCAUAGCUCAGCUGGGAGAGCGCCUGCCUUGCACGCAGGAGGUCAGCGGUUCGAUCCCGCUUGGCUCCACCAUUACAGAUUGGUGUCCAUCGUUUAAAGCUUAGAAAUGAGCAUUCCAUCAAGUUGAUGGUGAAUGUUGAUUUCUGAUCUUUAUCAGAACGUUCUUUAAAAAUUUGGGUAUGUGAUAGAAAGAUAGAUCCGGGCUAAGGUAAAGUUUGUGAAUGCAAACUUUCGGCGAAUGUCGUCUUCACAGUAUAACCAGAUUGCUUGGGGUUAUAU
rnacentral:tRNA from 1 species